GACGUAGGGCGCGAGCGUUGUCCGGAUUUAUUGGGCGUAAAGAGCUCGUAGGCGGCUUGUCGCGUCGUUCAUGAAAACCCGGGGCUCAACUCCGGGCUUGCGGGCGAUACGGGCAGGCUAGAGUUCGGUAGGGGAGACUGGAAUUCCUGGUGUAGCGGUGAAAUGCGCAGAUAUCAGGAGGAACACCGGUGGCGAAGGCGGGUCUCUGGGCCGAUACUGACGCUGAGGAGCGAAAGCGUGGGGAGCGAACAGG
rnacentral:rRNA from 1 species